UCUUUUUCUCACUUUUUAUUCUUUUUUUUUCGGUACCGCCGGUGUACCGAUUUUACCGACAGAAUCGUGUCGGUUCCCCGUCAAUCCAGUACGAGACGGAGUGUACCGACCGGUUCGGCACGGUAUGGCAAACCUUGCUUACAAUCAUCAUGGAUCACGAACAAAUAUGUUUGAAGCAGAAGCUUUGGGGAUAUCUCAGCAGCAGUAUGACUAUUACCAGAAG
rnacentral:lncRNA from 1 species